rnacentral:rRNA from 1 species
UUUGGUUAAGUUAGAAAGGGCGCACGGUGGAUGCCUUGACACUAGGAGUCGAUGAAGGACGGGACUAACGCCGAUAUGCUUCGGGGAGCUGUAAGUAAGC